AAUCAACAUCAAUUGCAAUUAAAGUAAAAGAUCAACAAAAGGGAAUUAGGGUUGGUACCAAUGACCAUCAAACUUGUGCUUGAACUUCAUCUCCCUUCUCUUCUGCGGCCGAAAAUGGCGACGGCGUAUAUGCUACCUUCUUCGAUCAAAAUCCAAGGCAAAACCUCAACCAUACCUCUCUCCGCUCGCUCUCAAUCUCGCUCUCUUCUCAAGAUCUCUCUCAUCGUCUCACGGAUAACACCGCCGCAUCGGUGAGUGCCUCAUAGCAGCGGCGACUUGGGGAAAUCAAUUGAUGUCAUCUCAACCACCCUCCGUCUUUGACUCGUCCUCUUCUUCUAUUACUCAGUCACACAAAUUUGACUGGAGUCACUCCGAUGAUGCCUAGGAGCCAUUAGUAACGGAAUCAGAAAUCCAUCUCGACACGCCUCAUAUGUAGAGAUGAAGGUUGAAGUUCACGUACGCUUGUUGGAGAGUAUGAAGAUGUUCUCAGAUUUGUUCAACUGAAGAGAGUGUGAUUGUUGAUUGAAGAACAGAGCGAAGGUUGAAGGAGCUAUGGUGAUGAUUGAAGUUCUUUCAGAUUAAGGGAGAACGAAUGAUGAAGUCGUUGAAGCUCGAUGAUGAAGAUUGAAGAGAGUUCUUGGCGAUGAUGAAUUCAGAGGAACCGGGAGUGAGUGAUUUUUGUUGAAAAGUUUGUUACACGUUCCUUUAUUUUUUCUGUUAUGUCGAUUGCAGAAUCCCAAGGUGAUUGAAUGAAGAUGAUGGUGGUGAAGGUUCUAGAAUCAAGAUUGAAGAAAGGUUGAAGAAGGUAGAUGAAGAUCCCGAGAGAGUUUGUUACGUUUCUGUUAUGAGAGUUUUUUUCUGAAUUCUCCUCCGAUUCUCUUAUUUCAGUUCCUUUUUUUUUCUUUCAAUUCUGUUUUUCUUUGGUUAUGCUGUUGCACUUGGUUUUUUUGUCCAGUUGUGAACCGAUUUCUUCUGCUUCUAUUUCUGUUAACACUGAACCGGCUUGGUUCGGUUUUAUUAUGUGAUGCAGCUCUUGUAGAAUGGGAAUGGCAAUUGUGUAUGGUGCAAGUUGUAGCAGGCGUUUGGGCCUUAGAAGAAUAGGCCCCCCUUUUUGUUGUAAUUUCUUUGUAAUUUGGCUUUUGUAAUGGAUAUCUUGGAUUUUAACUUGUAAUUGCCUUUGAAUGAAUGUUUGAAUGUAAUUUUGUAAAUUUCUCUUGUAAAACACCUUGAAUUUAUCUCUUGA